UACAGAGGGGGCAAGCGUUGUUCGGAAUUACUGGGCGUAAAGGGCGCGUAGGCGGCCUGUUAAGUCGGACGUGAAAUCCCUCGGCUCAACCGAGGAACUGCCUGUCAAACUGCGUGGCUUGAGACCAGGAGAGGUGAGUGGAAUUCCCAGUGUAGCGGUGAAAUGCGUAGAUAUUGGGAGGAACACCAGUGGCGAAGGCGGCUCACUGGACUGGUACUGACGCUGAGGCGCGAAAGCGUGGGGAGCAAACAGG
rnacentral:rRNA from 1 species